UGGGGAAUAUUGCACAAUGGGGGAAACCCUGAUGCAGCGACGCCGCGUGAACGAAGAAGGUAUUCGUAUCGUAAAGUUCUGUCCUAUGGGAAGAUAAUGACAGUACCAUAGAAGAAAGCUCCGGCUAAAUACGUGCCAGCAGCCGCGGUAAUACGUAUGGAGCGAGCGUUGUCCGGAAUUAUUGGGCGUAAAGGGUACGCAGGCGGUUUAAUAAGUCGAAUGUUAAAGAUCGGGGCUCAACCCCGCAAAGCAUUGGAAACUGAUAAACUUGAGUAGUGGAGAGGAAAGUGGAAUUCCUAGUGUAGUGGUGAAAGACGUAGAUAGUAGGAGGAAUACCAGUAGCGAAGGCGACUUUCUGGACACAAACUGACGCUGAGGUACGAAAGCGUGGGGAGCAAACAGG
rnacentral:rRNA from 1 species